rnacentral:lncRNA from 1 species
ACAAGAUUAUUGAACUUUGAAGUUGAUAAAGCUUUAGUAAGAAACUGUUCUUCAAUUCUCAACAACGAAUGUUUGUAGAUAAUGUCAACGUUUGUUUUUUCAAUAUCUUUUAUCAAUGGAUUAUAUUGAGUGCAGAUUUUGAUAAUAUAGAUCGUAUUGUGUAGGAUUUUGGUAAUUGACGUUUCUGCAUAAUUUUGUUUGAAACCGUGUCUGGUAUUUGAGCUGUAGCCGUCAAACCGUAACUCCGUUUUGAAUAAUAUUUACAUGUCUGGAAAACUGACGAAAUUAUCUUCGAUUGAGUACCAAUUUUGUAAUUUCUGGAUUUAUAAUGAAGUCUGGGGAUGUGUUUGAAUCUAGGGUACUGAUGCUGUCAAAUUGCUGUUUUUGGACUGCGGGUUUUACGUGCUCAAGCUACGCGAACGGAUCAUUAAGAGCAUACUGAACAGCUCGGAAAUGUUGGAAUCGGAGGUGGGUUCCUUUAGAUAAACUCUCACUUAAUAGAGUAGUCUUAUUAGUUUUCCCCAAAAUCCAA